GCUUAAAUAGUUUAAGAAAAAUAUUGGUUUGUGGAGCCGAAGAUAUAGUUGUAUUUUAAGCA
rnacentral:tRNA from 1 species